rnacentral:piRNA from 1 species
UUCAUCACCAAGGAAGUCAGG